AUGGUCCCCCCCUUUACAAGUCCCUUCCUGAAAAUCAGGGGAGCCCCCUCCGCCGGACGAGUCGACCCUGCAGGGGCCCGUCCCCGACCCCGACCGCCGUUGUUUCCUGCCCUCUGCGCCGCCCCCCACUCGGCAGGCUUCACGUGCUUGGGAUCCAGCUCCUUUUUUGUUCCCCGUCGGACUGGGACACCCCGGGGGGGCUGGGCUGUCGGCCCCCCAAGGGCUCUCGCCGGGGAACGGGGUGCGGCCGGGCCGAGCCCUGUGCUCAGCCCAGGAGCUGUUACCCUGGUCCCUCGAGGCCGUCGGUUUGGCCCGAGGAGAGACUCCGCUUCUCAGAGCGAUUGGGCCCCCGGGGAGCCGGGGUGGCCCCAGGAGUCAACCCUGGGCCACUCGCCAGGCCAGAGAGCCCCGUCCCCGGAGCCCCGCCACGUGGGCCCGGGUCUGGCCUCCCGGCCUCGGCCCCCACCUCCACUCCGGUUCUCCUUGGAGGCGGGCAGGAGCCCGCGGCGCGGCCUCCGGGUCAUUCCCGGGGCCCAGGCCUCCUGCGCGGUCCCGUCCUGGUCCUGCCCCGCGGUGGUCACACUGUGUCACUCCCGGCGGGGUCAGGCGUCAGGCGCGGGAUCAGCUCCCGUCCCUCGUUCCCAGGACUUUGCAAGCACCCAGACCAUCCCGGGACGGCCGGGACCCGGAAGGGCCUCCUGGGAAUCUGCCCCAGGCCUUUUCCCUGGUUCCUCUGGGAGGAGAUCCCGAGAGACCGAGUGGCCCAGCGGAGGGCGGGGAUCGGGGGAGGACCAGGCCCUGCCCCUGGGGCUCGGGGACCAGGGCACGUCCCGCUGCGGCCAAGGGCCUCGGUUCUCAGCGGGCCUGGGGACGGCUGGCUGGCCCUGUCCCUCCCAGCUCCAGGCGGACCCCGGAUCCUCGCCGUGCUCCCGCCCUGCAGGCCGAUGCUGGAUUCCGUGGAAGCCUGAGGAACCCGAGCCCCCGAGGCGGCCGGCGACCAGCUGGGACCGCAGUAGUCGGCCUGCACUCGGGGACGGCCAGUGUCGCCACCACUUGUGCCACCCCCGCCCCCGCCCAGAGGACAGGGCUGCUCUGGGGCUCCGCUCAGGACCUGGUGUGUGUCACCGAGAGGCCACCACAGCCCGGGCGCCAUCCGUCCGCUUCCCUCCGUCCUCUGCCCACACCUUGACUUUUCCUUACGUUGGUGCGGACCGUGCCCCCGCGUGGCCCCGAUUCCUGUCCACCCCUCGGCGGCAGCCGCAGCAGGCCUGA
rnacentral:lncRNA from 1 species